GGGUUGUGAGGUUAAGCGACUAAGCGUACACGGUGGAUGCCCUGGCAGUCAGAGGCGAUGAAGGACGUGCUAAUCUGCGAUAAGCGUCGGUAAGGUGAUAUGAACCGUUAUAACCGGCGAUUUCCGAAUGGGGAAACCCAGUGUGUUUCGACACACUAUCAUUAACUGAAUCCAUAGGUUAAUGAGGCGAACCGGGGGAACUGAAACAUCUAAGUACCCCGAGGAAAAGAAAUCAACCGAGAUUCCCCCAGUAGCGGCGAGCGAACGGGGAGCAGCCCAGAGCCUGAAUCAGUGUGUGUGUUAGUGGAAGCGUCUGGAAAGGCGCGCGAUACAGGGUGACAGCCCCGUACACAAAAAUGCACAUGCUGUGAGCUCGAUGAGUAGGGCGGGACACGUGGU
rnacentral:rRNA from 1 species